ACCAGCAUGGUGUAGUGGUUUGAGCAUUGGACUAUGACUCUGGAGACCAGGGUUUGAAUCCCUGCUCAGCCA
rnacentral:tRNA from 1 species